UACGGAGGGUGCGAGCGUUGUCCGGAAUCACUGGGCGUAAAGGGCGCGUAGGCGGCGCGGGUAGUCAUCGGUGAAAGUUCAGGGCUCAACUCUGAAUCGGCCGGUGAUACUCCCGUGCUCGAGCACUGUAGAGGCAGGUGGAAUUCCGGGUGUAGCGGUGGAAUGCGUAGAGAUCCGGAAGAACGACGGUGGCGCAGGCGGCCGAGCUGGGCCAUGGAG
rnacentral:rRNA from 1 species